ACUCCUACGGGAGGCAGCAGUGGGGAAUCUUAGACAAUGGGGGCAACCCUGAUCUACGCCAUGCCUGCGUGAGUGAAGAAGGUCUUAGGAUCGUAAAGCUCUUUCGCCAGGGAUGAUAAUGACAGUACCUGGUAAAGAANCCCCGGCUAACUCC
rnacentral:rRNA from 1 species